UACUUCUGACAAACCUGGAGAAGUUAAUGUCUGCUGCUAAGGUUUCCACUACAGAAGCAAGGAAAGUAAGUUCCUCAUGUUUUCUGUCUGUCUGGUUUUGGGAGCCAAGAUUGAAAAGGAAUUUCUAAAA
rnacentral:snoRNA from 1 species